rnacentral:rRNA from 1 species
UACGUAGGGUGCAAGCGUUGUCCGGAAUUAUUGGGCGUAAAGAGCUCGUAGGCGGUUUGUCGCGUCUGCUGUGAAAACUCGGGGCUUAACUCCGGGCCUGCAGUGGGUACGGGCAGACUAGAGUGCGGUAGGGGAGACUGGAAUUCCUGGUGUAGCGGUGAAAUGCGCAGAUAUCAGGAGGAACACCCGUGGCGAAGGCGGCUCUCUGGGACGGUACUGACGCUGAGACGCGAAAGCAUGGGGAGCGAACAGG